rnacentral:rRNA from 1 species
CCUACGGGGGGCAGCAGUGGGGAAUAUUGGACAAUGGGGGGAACCCUGAUCCAGCCAUGCCGCGUGUGUGAAGAAGGCCCUCGGGUUGUAAAGCACUUUCAGUGAGGAAGAACGCCUGGUGGUUAAUACCCAUCAGGAAAGACAUCACUCACAGAAGAAGCACCGGCUAACUCCGUGCCAGCAGCCGCGGUAAUACGGAGGGUGCGAGCGUUAAUCGGAAUUACUGGGCGUAAAGCGCGCGUAGGUGGCUUGAUAAGCCGGUUGUGAAAGCCCCGGGCUCAACCUGGGAACGGCAUCCGGAACUGGCAAGCUAGAGUGCAGGAGAGGAAGGUAGAAUUCCCGGGGGAGCGGUGAAAUGCGUAGAGAUCGGGAGGAAUACCAGUGGCGAAGGCGGCCUUCUGGACUGACACUGACACUGAGGUGCGAAAGCGUGGGUAGCAAACAGGAUUAGAUACCCUGGUAGUC